UUUUGAAUAAGUCGAUCGGUCUCUGUUUGAUUUAGCCUGUUUCUUUACGUGACAUGCUUCUUACUAUUACUAAUUCUCUAAUUCUGAUGCUCCUUUUUAGUCUCCACACGAAGCUACCUCAUAAUCCUAAGUAGACACUUUUAAAAAAGAGAGAAAUUCUCAAAAUUCUCUCAAAAAACAAAACAUCUACCCAUCAGUUCGGUAGUCUCAAAUCAUUAUAGCCAUUGGAUCUAUUAUUUUUUCUAAAAAAUUACCCACCUAUGCUAUUAUGAAAAUAGCCUAAAGUAACCCCUAAAUCUAUAUAUAAAUUACCCACCCCUUCCAUUAUAUAAAAUAAACUAAACAAACCCCAAAUCUUCAUCUAAAU
rnacentral:lncRNA from 1 species